GGAUGUUUAAUUAAACUUUUAAUAUGCCUCAGCGAGAUAUCGUAGGUUUUCGUGACUGUUCAGGCCUCAUAUUGCGUAUUAGCAUGGAUUCACUAAGUGUAGAAGUAUACAAUGAUACGAUCCGUGGAUUUCCAAAGCGAUGUAGACUGUUAAUGUAGGGGUGGUAAAAUAACUGCUAUUAUGACGACCCAUGUUUAUUGAAGGAUGUUUGGUUUAAAGAUCAAGCUGCAAUUACAUAGGAAAUUAGGGUAUAAUGUGCUUCGCUACCUAACUCAUGAAUGUAAUACCAUGUACUGUACGACAUGUCUGAAUGUGACACACUUUCCUUGGUCAAGGUCUUCGUGACAUCCGCGUCAGUCCCAGACACACCCCUUAUUUUGCCGACCAUUUCUGGGGCGACUACCCUUCGCGAUGUCGUCGGCGAAGAUCCUAUUGAGUGGAGCUACAAGGACCUCAUGCGCCGGGCUUGAAAUGUUGGUACCGAUACACCCAUGUUAAUUGCCCCGUUUGUCAUAUGGAUUGAAUGUCGAACCUGUCUUUGGAUGGAUUGUGUUGAGUUUUUGUUGAACUAUGUCUGGAAUUGAUGCGUAGACCUUUGUGGUUUGAAUUUGUAUGGUGAAAAAUGUGCCUAAUGGGAUUGAUGGAUAACCGUAUUUGCUUAUUGCGUUGUUUACUUGUGUUUGAACUGUUAAGCACGUUUUGCGGAACAGGUUGUUGAUGUGUAGAUACUAGUAGGCUUGUUCUAUGGGUUGCUUUACUUUGU